rnacentral:rRNA from 1 species
UACGUAGGGUGCAAGCGUUAUCCGGAAUUAUUGGGCGUAAAGAGCUCGUAGGCGGUUUGUCACGUCUGCUGUGAAAACUGGAGGCUCAACCUCCAGCCUGCAGUGGGUACGGGCAGACUAGAGUGCGGUAGGGGAGAUUGGAAUUCCUGGUGUAGCGGUGGAAUGCGCAGAUAUCAGGAGGAACAGCCAGAUGGCGAAGGCAGAUCUCUGGGCCGUAACUGACGCUGAGGAGCGAAAGCAUGGGGAGCGAACAGG